AGGAUACUGGGCUAGAUGGAUCGUUGGUCUAAUCCAGCCCAAGUUUGUCAAGGUCAAUGAAAAUUGUGCCCAAAUUUGUGAUUAGAAAGCAAGAAGAAAAGGGCAGAAAAAAAUUGUUGAAGUGGACCAAAUACAACCCAUCGGCCUGCAGCUGCCCUCAUCUUUUAAGAGACACUUUCAACAUACAAAUCCUAAAUUGUAAACAAAGAAGUGACUUACUAAUAACACUUUAGAUUGUUAUAAAUAAAAGAUGUUUAAAAUCCAACUUUGUUCUCUUUACUUAUGUUCUUUGAUUACCUUUUGCAUUUCUCUCAGUUUAGACAGUGAAAAUGAUUUCAGGUGAGGAAUGUUUAUCCGUUUGAGAACAUCUCUUCACUGUUUCUUUUUUCUUUUUUUUUUAAUUCCAGAAAUAUGUCUGGAGCUGGUAGGUUUUAUAAAAGCUUGUAUUUAGAACAUUUCAGUAUUGGCUUUAUUUUGUCAGUGGCCUACCAUGAUGGCAUUUCUCAUAAAUGAAUUGUUUCAAAUAGCUUCUGUGUGGAUCAAGAAGGCACCUAUUCUUGGGCCAUGCUUCUGUAUUAAAGAUAAAGUUGAAUGCAGUUUGCUACUAUUAAUACAAAUAAGUGCAGCCUUUAGUCUCCUGGCAUGUUGUCAAUGCAAUCAGUGACAU